rnacentral:lncRNA from 1 species
AAGAGGAGAGAGGAUGGAGGCUGCCCAAAAACGUCUACAAACCCUAGAGGAGUCUUGUCCAUGUUUUUAGGUCAUCAGGGAUCUAUAUAUAUAGGAGGCAAUUAGGGUUAUCUAACAAGGAAACCCUAAUUUGGAUGCUUAAGCCCUAAGCAACCCAUGGAGUCCUUUCCUUAAGGCCUUGGACGAUUUCAUAUGGGCUUCCCCCAUAGAAUUCGUCCACCUUAUAAUAAAAGGCAAUCCAUGGCCCAAAUUGCAAUUAUCUUAUAAUUACAAUUCCAGUCCCUUAAGUUUAAUUAAUCUCUUUUAGUCACAAAACUAAUUACCAAUUAAUUAUUGACUAAUAUUAAUUAAACAAUAUGAUUUCUCCUUUAAUAUAUUAUUCUCAUAAUAUAUUAAUAAAUCAUAUGUAAUCCUUUCUCUCCAUAAUUCAUCCUAUCAAGUUGCUUUGGUGAAGGCAACCCAAAAGGACCAUGCACCAUCGGGUCAAGUACAUACCAAAAUAGUUAUGGACUUAGACACUAAUCCAACAGUCUCCCACUUGGAUAAGUCUAAUAACUAUUCUGCGUAUGACUUCAGAUCCUGAUCUGCAAUCGUAGCUUUCCAAAGCCGCUGUCAACUCUGAUCCUAUCAGAUACGCGUGUCCUUAGAUAAGGGAUCAUAUAUUCCUCCAUUCUAGAUAUCAUAUGAGAUAUGAUUUCAAAUCAUUCUCUUUGUACUAUAUCUCGAUUCCCGAUUUAUGACGACUGACUAAUUGAACAAAUCAAAUUAGCCCUAGCCCGGCCGAGCAUUUACGUUUGUCAUCACUAAAUCAUCGAGGGGCCCAAAGAUAUCGCUUUUAUCCUACUUUGGAUAAAAGGAACGGAUAAACUUUGAUACAAUGCUUGCUUGCACUCACUCACCGAAUCACACACAACAAUAUGUUUUAUAACACCAAGUUACUAGUGCGUUUACAUAUUAUCAAUGUGCAACCGAUUUGCAAGAUACAACUCACACAUCUCGGUUUCAAGAAUAUAAGAUGUUAUCGUCUCACCAAUCACUCGUGAUACAAUUCAUGGAGUGAUCCAAGUGAGCGUGGGUUUAAUCCAAUGCUCAAAUCAUAUUCAUAAGCACUCAUGAACGUUGCAGCAAACAUUUGCUUAUGUCUAAUACUCUUUAGACAAUCCACACACCAAUUCACGACAGUCUUCAUUCAUACCUACUUCCAACAUAUGAACGACUGUGGCCCGUUCGAAUAAUUUGACUGUUCUUAACCAAUUAAAUUAUUCAGGAAGUCAAAACAUGCAAAGUGAAACACAAGAAUAAUACUAAUCCCAUAUGGCCUCAAACCUUUGAGUAUAAAUAAAACACCUUUUAUUUAUCACCAUAUCGAUUACUCAUUAUUUGUCGUUUCGGGUAAUCAACUUCUUACUUGAAUUAUUACACUUGUCCCAUGCUCCUAGCAUGCACACAAUGUUUACCUAUGGUUCUUACUUUGUGAAAUAGAUCAAAUUGAACACAUUUCCAAUCAUUCUCAUUUCACAACUCCAAAUCCUUUUUCAUAAGUGAAAGAAUAUCAAAUUCUUGCUACUUAUAGAAUAUGCUAGAUUCUAACAUUUUAUGCAAUGAUCUCUUUUGUAAUGUCACUGCACCAAAGUCACAAAGACUAUUGCCAAUGAUAUUACAAAGUCUUCUAUCGGAGAUUGUUACAAGACAAUUCCUUAGAUAUGAUGUCUCUCACUCAAAGUACAUUCCUUUGAACAUCCUUUUGCAUAAAAGUUUCUAAUCUAGACAUAGAUUUUCAAUAUUCAAUUCCCAAUAUGGACACGUUUCCAUAUUUUCCAUAUGACAACUCAUUCUUAAUAGAAUCUUAUCUAUUCAUAAUAAUGUCGAUAUGGUCCAUCCAAUAUGGAAACAUUUCCAUAUUUUCCAAUACUAUACUUCCAACUACUCACAAGCGACCAAUCCUCGUCGAACUUUGGAUUGUCCUUUGAUAGUUGUUUAAUUAUUUUAGUCAAAACCGAUUCUAGUCCUUUUUCCCUCUAAAUGCGCUAGACAUUUGGAAAAUUUUAGAAUGGUCAAACAUUAAAGCAUUUGCAAUCGAUCCUAUACCCGAAGCGUAUGGGACACGACGCAUAAUGUUUUAUUUGCUAUGUUCUCAAAAUUCGAAUUGUGAAGAGGAAUGCCGUAAUCAUAAUCGAAAUUUUAAGAACACACUAUGUACCUUUGACUAAAUUUAUUAACAUUUCUCAACCUAAUCCUUUAGAUUUGAAAUGAAGCAUAAUAUUCUCUCCCUUAAUUAUAGCAAAACAACUUUUCAACUCUUACAACUUUGCAAAGUAUGACUCUUGUUUUCUAUAAUUAAUAUUGCUAACCUUGCAAUACUUUCCUUAAUAAUCAUACAAUCAUAACAUUUAUGCUCCCACUAUCAUGAUGAUUAUUAUAAAACAUAACACUUAUGCUCCCACUAGCUUCGACAUGUAUUCAUAAACAUCUUAACUUUCAGAAAAAAAAACUUAUUGAAUUUCUUAAGUUCAUGUUUCUAAUACUUAGUGCUUUGAUAAUCCUUUAUCAAUGCUUCUUGAACUUAUACACCUUUGCCUUCGAUAGUUCAUAUGUGUGUCUAAACAAUUAAGACUAAUUGCCAAACCUCACAAUUCAAAUUAUGGAAAGGGAUGCCGUAACCAUGAUUGAAUUUGAGAAUGCAAUUUUACAAUCACUAUCUUCUUAAAAUCUCUCUUAGUGAAAGCAUUUCCUCACAAUCAUUUUCAUGAAGGAGGAAAUCUUAUGACACUUAGAUUUAAACGGUGUAUGUGUUCCUAUCCAUGUGAAUUUGUUAAAACCAAAGUUUACGACAAAUUCAAACUCAUAUGGACCGAACUUUCUUAAUCUUGAUUUCUUGCCUUAUGGUAGCACAGCUGCCCACCAUGUCUUCCAAGUAGUUAAGCAGCUCACCUUUUCCUAUCAAUGUACCUUUCAUUGAUUAAGGUGCUUUGCCUUUUAUGCGUUCAAAAUGAGAACUCAUAGAACUCACAUGCAUAAUUAACUCGAUUGGAUUGGCACAGAAUCAAAAUAAUGUCAACACGAUAGGUUGUAAACCUCAACUCGUGUGCUAGUGAUGAUCGAUAAGGUUUAUUUGAUUUGUUCUUGAAACCUUUCAAGACCAUUAAGACUCCCACUGACUCCUUGACAUAUAAGAUUCUCUUGUCAAUAACCAUUUCUUGACAAACAAAUAUUCAAGAGUUAGUGUAGCUUUUAUCAAAACACUUCAUAAAUUGGUCCUAGUUGGUCUUUGUCUUAUCCAAGACAUCACAACUUUCCACAUUUGAUGAAUGUUAUAAACCUUCUUAAUACUUUUCACUCAAUGUCACAAUCUUAACUUUAAGACUUGUUUUGGAACGAAGUAUGAUUGACUUCUUGAUUUAACCAUUUCUUCAAUUCUUGAUUCCUCUUCUUAGACAUACAAUUGUACUAAGACUCACUUAGAGGAUCAAUUGAGAUAUGGUUCUUAAUCAUUAAGACCUAUCAUAAAGCAUAAAAGGUACUCUCCCUUCUUCUUAGAAUGGAGAAACUUUUAUCUUUCUGCCUACUUGAUUCUUCUUAUUCGUUCUGCUAUUGAUUUAAACCUUUUCAAUCAAUUCAGAAUUACACUUAAUCUUAUAAGUAUAAUCAUAUUUACUAAACCUUUAGUAAAUCAUGACGAAUAUCUUUGUUACUCUUAUGGUGGACUUGAUCAACACGCAACUUUGUGUACUCGAUCUCCUAGUCCUUCACUUGACACUUUGUCAAUGAAUUAGUCUAAUUUCCAAAUAUGAAAUUUCUCAUUCAUCGUGCAACCAAGUUGCAUGAUUCCAAGUUUCUGUCCAAUUGAAACUUGGGCGAUGAGAAACUCUCCCUAUUUGGUAAAUUCUCGACUUUCCAUAAAUAACAUAAUAAGAACCAAAUCCAUUAUUGCUAAUAAUAGAAACAUUUUAACAUCAAUUUUUCAUACACGCCAUUGCAAGGAUAAAUAAAUAAAAUAAAAUCAAAAUUUAUUUUAUUGCGGAAAAAAUUUGUCCUUACAAUGCAAUUCAUUGAAAAACUAUGCUAAUACAUCUUUCUUAGCAAUCUAAUUCUAACUCUAAGUAGUAGCUCAAGAAUCUAAUCUUCGAGAAAUGCGAUCGAAAUCCAUUCCUUCACGGUUAGAUUCUGCUCACUUCUUCCCUUAAGCUUCCUUUCUUUUCUUCGAUCCUACAAAACAUCAAUUGUAAUCUUAUCACAUUAUGUAUUAAGAAUCUAGAAUAGAAGCUUAAAAGAGUUAGUUAAUGGAUUUUACCUAUAUUAGAGCCAUACGUUUCGACUCUCCCAUCUCUUAGAUCUCUUAGGUAAAUGGGGCAGCUUCGUCUCCAAUGCCCUUUCUCUUGGCAAUAAAAGCAAAUUGACUCUUUUGGAACAUGACAUGGAACUACUUCAGACAUUGCCUUUCUCUUAUGAUCAAACUUUUCGAUCAUAGCAUGUCUUUCGUUGCCAUUGUCUAUAUCCAUAGAGGUCUUGAAGGCAGAUUCACCAAUCAACUUUGCUUUUCUAUUGCGCCAAACCAUUGCUGAUUCAGCAGCAAUAAGCAUAUAGGUGAGAUCUAUAAGGGUCACGUCGCGGUUCAUCAUAUAGUACUCUCUUACGAACUCACUAUAUGAGUUAGGAAGUGACUGAAGAACCCAAUCAACAGCCAUUUCCUCACAGACAACGGAUCCCAACAUUCUUAACCUAUCAAUGUGUGACUUCAUCCCUAGGACGUGUGCACACACCGACUUUCCUUCUUUAUGUUUACUUGCCAAAAGGGCUUGAGUGAUCUUGAACUUUUCAAGCCUUUGAACUUGUGGGUUAGGGAGAAUAAUUGGAGGAGGUGGAGGAAGUGAAGCAUGAUUUCUUGUUCCUCGAUCGAAUCGUGGAAUAUCAUCUUCAUGUGGAAUGCUUGUUCCACGGGAUUUGGGAAGACCAUAGUUGUCGAACUUUGACAUCUACAAAACGGGAGAAAACGAAUUCAAGUUAGUUGAUUGAUUGAGUCCUUAGUAAAUCACCCAAAUGAGAUACUAAGGCUAGGACCCAACACAAUAUUCUACAACUCGGGAGAGGGAUGCCGUAACCCAAAUUGCAGAACAUUUGAAGGUAAGUGAAUGACGAUUCACUAAUUUCCACCAUGAAAAACGAAAAAGAAAUUUAAGUUUUAAAUCUAUGAAAACUCCUAGAUCCUUUGAGAUUCAUUGAACAUUUCAAUGGCAUGUUUAAAUCUCGAUAUGCCCCUCUUGUUUGUGACUGGGAUGCCGAGGAUCACAAAGCGGGUGUGAAUAACCAUGCAAACUUACAUGGUGCCCUCACAUGUUACAGUCACCUAUUCGAUGUGCCGGUAAACCACACACGCUCCACCGAACUAUGACAAACAUUGAGUCACCCUUUGCUACCUUUGCUUAGAACCAUUUAGUGUGCCGGUAAACCACACACGCUCCACUAACGUCUUCGCAAGGGCACAAAGUGUAAUUUCAUGGAAUUGCAUCAAUUCACUUUUGCCUAAGUAACUAAGAUUGGGAAUUUUAUGAAAACAUUUAGUUACUUUUAUACUUCAUUAUACUUAUAAUGGAAGGUUUCGUCCUAUCCUACCCGUUCGGCUAACGACCCUCCACUAGUCAAGAGUGCGGUGGGUAAGAGUGGAUACCCAUUCAAUCGCCAUUUUAUAGGCAAUUUCCUUAAACACCCCUUAUAGACCAGCUUCGUGAAUGAGGCCUACUAACGGUAAGACUGACUUUUACUCAUACAUAUAUAUAAUGUUAGACUUUUAAUGUUAUAUAUAGUAUAGGGUGUAUUUUACACUUUUAAAAUACUAGGUGGUCAAAUUUAACAAUUAUACUUUUAAUUCAAUUAAAUUGUAAACCUAAACUUUUAUGGAUUUAUUAAACCUCUUUUAAUUAUACACCUUAAUUAAUUAAUAAAACCAUAAGGGUGUGAUUUGAACUUUUUCAAAACUAUACUAGAGUUUUAGAAUUUAACAUUCCUAAUUAAACUUUUAAUCAACUUUUAAAUUCCAAAACUUGAGGGCAAGUUUUGAAACAUUUCAACACAUUAGGGUUUAGAAUUUAAAUAUACAUCAAAAUUAAACUAUUUAAUCAAAAUUUAAAUUCCAAAACUUGAGGGCAAGUUUUGAAACCUUUUUCAAAACAUUAGGGUUUCAACUAUUUAAAUUUCAAAACAACAAAACUUUUGGGUUCAAAUUUAAACUAUAAAACCUAAAGGGAAAAAUAUGAAACUUUUCAUAACAACAAGGAUCAAAUAACAAAUAAUCUAAAUUAACAUUUAAUCACAUAAUUAUCCAUAUUUGAUUUAUUUAAUGAUUUCUUGCAAAACAAUUUAUCAAUUUAGUCAAAAUAAUUAAUCAAUUAUCACAUAAGGAAACAAUUAUCUUAUUAAUUGAUAAAUAUCUUCAAUUAGAUCAAAAAUAUAGUCAAAUAUAUCAUAAAAUCGGAUUAAUAUUGAUCUAACAUGAUAAGGUAACUAUCCAUAAGCAAAAACAGCAAGAAAUCCCGAAGUACCCUCCAUCUGACGAGUUGACUCGUCGAGUCAGGCUUGGACUCGUCGAGUCACCUUGGACUCGGCGAGUUCAGCCAUGGACUCGGCGAGUCCAUCUUCCAAAACAUCAAAAAUCGAAUUUUUCAGUUAUGUCAAGCAUCAAUACAAUUGAAACCAAUCAAGGCUCUGAUACCACUGAUGGGUUUUGGUCAUAAGACAUCCUAUGUGCUCAUACAAACCCUAAUGCUUGGAUCUAGGUUUCUCUAUUGUACAUGCAAGUUAUCCAAGACUAUAAACCCUAAUUCUAGCAUUCAAGUAAUCAUAUUAACAUGAGAAUAGGUUUAAGAUAUUACCUUGAUUGUUAUGUAGCAAUAACAAUCCCAAAUCUCCUUGUAUUGACUUUAGAAAGCUUAGAGUCACAAUUGUCACUCCUCUAAUGGUUCACAAACACCAUAAGCAAGAGGAUGAAGAGGAGAGAGGAUGGAGGCUGCCCAAAAACGUCUACAAACCCUAGAGGAGUCUUUUCCACGUUUUUAGGUCAUAAGGGAUCUAUAUAUAUAGGAGGCAAUUAGGGUUAUCUAACAAGGAAACCCUAAUUUGGAUGCUUAAGCCCUAAGCAACCCAUAGACUCCUUUAAUUAAGGCCUUGGACGAUUUCCUUAUGGGCUUCCCCAUAGAAUUCGUCCACCUUAUAAUAAAAGGCAAUCCAUGGCCCAAAUUGCAAUUAUCUUAUAAUUACAAUUCCAGUCCCUUAAGUUUAAUUAAUCUCUUUUAGUCACAAAACUAAUUACUAAUUAAUUAUUGACUAAUAUUAAUUAAACAAUAUGAUUUCUCCUUUAAUAUAUUAUUCUCAUAAUAUAUUAAUAAAUC